UGGGGAAUAUUGGACAAUGGGCGCAAGCCUGAUCCAGCCAUGCCGCGUGAGUGAUGAAGGCCUUAGGGUUGUAAAGCUCUCUUGUCCGGGAAGAUAAUGACUGUACCGGAAGAAUAAGCCCCGGCUAACUUCGUGCCAGCAGCCGCGGUAAUACGAAGGGGGCUAGCGUUGCUCGGAAUCACUGGGCGUAAAGGGCGCGUAGGCGGACUUUUAAGUCGGGGGUGAAAGCCCAGGGCUCAACCCUGGAAUUGCCUUCGAUACUGGGAGUCUUGAGUUCGGAAGAGGUUGGUGGAACUGCGAGUGUAGAGGUGAAAUUCGUAGAUAUUCGCAAGAACACCGGUGGCGAAGGCGGCCAACUGGUCCGAAACUGACGCUGAGGCGCGAAAGCGUGGGGAGCAACAGG
rnacentral:rRNA from 1 species